UAUUUUCUAGAUUAGGAAACUGAGGUCCAGAGAGCUGAAGGUCUUGAGUCCGAGAUGGGAUUUGAAUCCAGAACUGGUUCCAAAAUCAGUGAUCAAUUCCAUUGUACUAUAAGAAAUAAGGCAUGGGAAGGGGACAGGAGGCAGAAUCCUUAAGGAAUAAGAGACUUGGAAAGAUGCAAUAAAAGUCUCAAAUUAUUCUUCUCCCCAUGUUCAGGAUAGAAAAUCCAAAGAACCCCACCGUAUGGGUUUCGCUAUACAAGAAACUGAAUGCCUGAAAGGAGAAACCCGCACUCCUAGCAAAUGUGCCUUCAAAAAAGACGGGGAAGAGAAGUAUUGUCGGGCAGCAGUCAAAUUCAUCUGUGACGGUGAAGCUGAUGUUUGGGUCCGCUGUUCUCCCAUGGCGAGUAACACGGUAAGUGAUUCCUGAUGCCCUUCCUGACCCUAGAGUCAGCAGUUACAAGAAGAGCAGCCAAAUAGGAAGGGGUCAAUUGGGAAGAUUCAUAGGCAUCUAGCUAUAAUUAUGCAAUUAGUGAAUGUAGUGCAGUGACAAGAACACGGGUUUUAUGCCCAAAUGCCUGAGUUUGAAUACCACCUUGGCCACUGAGAGAAUGGAAGAGCCAAGAUUUACUCUUCCCUUUGGACCUACUAUUCUUUCCACCAUAGAACAGCUGCCUCAUGGAGUUAAUAGAAUUGGAAACUGAGGGGACACCCAUCAAUUGGGAAAUUGCUGCACAAAUUGUGGUAUAUGGUUGAGAUGGAAUACUAUUGAGGAAUAAGAGAUGACAAGGGGUGGAUGUUUUCAGAAAAAAUGUGGGAAGACCUAUGUGAACUGAUACAAACUGAAGUGAGCAGAGCCAGGAGAUCAUUGUACACUGAAAUAGCAAUAUUGUAUGAUGAUCAACAAUGACUUAGCUAUUCUGAUCAAUACAAUCCUUACGCUGAUCAAAGGCAAUUCCAAAAACCUAAUGAUGAAAAAUACUAUUGAACUCCAAAUGAAAAAAAAUGAUGAGUCUGAAUGCAUAUUGAAGCAUAUUUUUUUAACUUUCCUUAUUUUUUCUUAAGUGUUUUUUUUUGGUUUGGGUUUUUUUGCAACAUAUAUAAAAUGGAAAUAUGCUUUAUAUGCAUGUAUAAUCUAUAUAAAACUUAUUGCCUUUUCAAGAAGGGGAUAGGAGAAGGAGGGAGGGAGUGAAUUUAGAACUAAAAAUUAAAAAAAAUAUGUUAAAAUUUUUAUUUACAAUUAAUUGUGAAAAUAUAAAAUGAAAGAGAGGAAGGAAAAAAGGAAAGAAAAAAGGAAGGAAGAAAGAUAGGAAGGAAUGAACAAACGAACGAAGAAACAAAGGAAUGAAGGAAAGAAGGAAGGAACGAAGGAUCUUAAUAAGAUUGUAAAACUAGAGAAAUGGGAAUUAUUAUCACUGGUCCCUAAAUAUUGAACUCUAUUCUUUAUCCUACAGAUUGUCAGAAGAAGCAAAAGAGGAAUUAAAGUUCCUGGUUUCGUGAAAAAGUUCCUCAAAGAUGUUGUUAGUGAGACCAUUUCCCAUAGUAUUCCUAAAGCCAUUUCAGCAGUGAAUAAACUUAUUAAAAAAAAGAAAAAAGGUGCUACA
ensembl:lncRNA